ACGUGAUCUGAGUUCAGACCGGAGUAAUCCAGGUCAGUUUCUAUCUAUAAAGGGCUUUUUCUAGUACGAAAGGACCGAAAAAGCACGGCCCAUGCUCAAAGUAAGCCGCACUCAUUAAUUUAUGAUUUAAGCUCAAUAAACAACUGACCUGCAACUCUAUUCUAAACAAGAGUA
rnacentral:rRNA from 1 species